GACGUAGGGCGCGAGCGUUGUCCGGAUUUAUUGGGCGUAAAGAGCUCGUAGGCGGCUUGUCGCGUCGGCUGUGAAAACCCGCGGCUCAACUGUGGGCGGGCAGCUGAUACGGGCAGGCUGGGGUUCGGUAGGGGAGACUGGAAUUCCUGGUGUAGCGGUGAAAUGCGCAGAUAUCAGGAAGAACACCCGUGGCGAAGGCGGUUCUCUGGGACGGUACUGACGCUGAGACGCGAAAGCGUGGGGAGCGAACAGG
rnacentral:rRNA from 1 species